rnacentral:lncRNA from 1 species
UUGCAACAAAGUGACUCAACAACAGAAAGGGAACUGCAUCAUCCUAUGAAUCAACAUUGUCAAAAGAAUCAAGCAAGGAAAAGAUUGGUAGCAAAUAAGAGAGUCAAUGAAUUGGUGAAGUCCAAACUCUCUUCCCCUCAAAUACCAUCUAUGGGCAAGAAGAAAAUCUUUUGUUUGAUGCCGAAACCCUAGGGAAUGACUAUGUACAACAGCUGAGAAGUGUUACGGAACCACUCUCUAAUCAGGGGCUAUUGGAAACUCAAAGCUAAGAAGUUGAUAACCAAGAG